CUCAGCUGGUACCAGCGCUGCGGGCCCAGCCAAGGGUGCACGUUCAACCCCACCCUCUCCACCGGCAAGCAACCCACUCGCCCCACCCCAACCUCUUGGUCAAGGUUACCAGCAAUACCGACUCCAACAGGGACUGAGCUCCUUCCCGA